rnacentral:lncRNA from 1 species
CACUGUACAGCAAGGGGGUCAGAUUAUCCUUAGAUGUAUACAUUGCAAUUACAGUUUUUUCCCCCACCCUUUCUUCUGUUGCAACAUGAGUAUCUAGACAUAGUUCUCAAUGCUAUUCAGCAGGAUCUCCUUGUAAAUGACUUCUUUUUUAAAUUAAAAAAUUGAAAAAUUGUACUAUUUUGAUUUCAAAUAUGUUUUGGUGAACAGAAUAUUUGAAAAGAUUUGAAUUUUGAAUACAAUUUUUAAACCUUAUUUUUUUUUUAAUUUUUGAUUUUGACUUUUUUUGUCUUUAGAGGGCUGCAGCCAAGGCAUAUGGAGGUUCCCAGACUAGGGGUAGAAGCGGAGCUGUAGCUGUUGCCUACACUACAGCCAUAGCAACGCCAGAUAUGAGCCACAUCUGCUAACUACACCACAGCUUACGUCAACACCGCAUCCUUAACCCACUGUGCCAGGCCAGGGAUCGAACCUGCGUCCUCAUGGGUACUAGUCAGAUUCGUUUCCACUGGGCCACAAGGGCAACUCCUGACCUUUUUUUUUGGCCUUGCCCAUAGCAUACAGAAAUUCCUGUCCCAGGGAUUGAACUCACACCAUAACUGUUAAUGAGAGCCACGGCAGUGACAAAACUGGAUCCUGAACUAACUCGCUGAGCUGCUGUGGCUGUCGUGUAGGCAGCCGCUGCAGCUCUGAUUCGACCCCUCCCUGUCCUGGGAACUUACAUAUGCCAUGGGUGUGGCCCUAAACACACACACACACACAAACCCAAUUCGUGAAGGAAUUCCUGACUUUUUAUUUUUUUAAUAUUUAUUUAUUUUUAUUUAUUUAUUUAUUUAUUUUUUGUCUUUUUGAAAGGGCCGUUCCUGUGGCACAUGGAGAUUCCCAGGCUAGGGGUCCAAUCUGAGCUAUAGCCUCUGGCCUACGCCAGAGCCACAGCAACUCGGGAUCCAAGCCAUGUCUGUGACCUACACCACAGCUCAUGGCAAUGCCAGAUCCUUAACCCACUGAGCAAGGCUAGGGAUCGAACCCACAACCUCAUGGUUCCUAGUCAGAUUCGUUAACCACUGAGCCACAACGGGAACUCCCUGACUUUUAUUUUUGAAUUUCAUUGUAGUUGGUUUACAAUGUUCUGUUAAUUUCUGCUGCACAGCAAAGUGAUUAGGUUAUAUACACACAUAUAUAAACCUUAUUUUUAUAAUUCUCAGAGUUCCUGAACCAGUCACAAGUACUAAAAUUGAAACUGUGAUUGAAAAACUUCCACAGGAGUUCCCUUUGUGGCUCAGUGGUUAACAAAUCCUACUGCUAUCCAUGAGGGCACAGGUUCCAUCCCUGGCCUCGAUCAGUGGGUUAAGGAUCUGGCGUUGCCGUGAGCUGUGGUAUAGAUUGCAGACGCCGCUUGGAUCUAGCGUUGCUGUGACUGUGGUGUAGGCUGAUUCGACCCCCAGCCUGAGAGCUUCCAUAUGCUGCAAGUGCAGCCCUAAAAA